UAGCCUUGUAAUUCGGGGGAUUGGCCCCGGAGUAUCCACGAACCGACCAUAAUCGGUUGUAUCCAGGGAAA
rfam:Elusimicrobia bacterium CG1_02_56_21 cg1_0.2_scaffold_412_c, whole genome shotgun sequence.